rnacentral:lncRNA from 1 species
GAAGUCUUCAUUUCUCUGUUCCUAAAUUGCACACAUUGAUCUGCUGUGUACAAAGUUGCAGAGCAAGUUGGCAGGAGCACUGGAGUGUGUCGGGUCUACUAGGGAAUACAUAUACUUGGGUUUUAGUUUAAAUGAGCUGAGAGCUGGGGAAUGGCUUGACAGUCAUGGGGAGCCCAAGUGUCUGUUUCCCACCAAACAAGUCCCUUCAUAGGUUGGAGCUGUCAGUCAGUACGCCCUGGGAGUACCUGCCCUGGGGACAGGUGUCUCCUUCUACACUACUGGCCUGCCACUGUGGAGAGGAGAUGUGGGAGGGCUGGAGUGGGGCCAGGGAACUGGGCUGCUGGGGGAGUGUUUUUGAUACUGCUCUGUUCUCUGCCCCUUCAAUGUCUUGAACCUGAAGUAUGAGCUUUUGUCAGGGGAAGGACAGAGGCUAGAUCCCCUGAAAGCAGACCCUGGCCCAGGGCUCAGGGCUCAGGGCUCUACAUACUUGAACAGCCUGUCUCCUCUGUUACCUAUUCUAAUAUUAAUAUCUUGAUUAAUUCCAGAACAAUUGUUCUUUAAUGUUUUUAAAAAUAUUUCCUAGCCUUUGCAAACCACCUACUCUUCUCUGAGAGUGACUUUGAUUGAAGUUUGAAGUUUUAAGGUUCAGCUGUUUUCUUGUUACUUAUUAUUAGAAAAAUGUAGCAAUUUCCCCCAAGUAAAGAAGGAAAAGGUCCUUUCCUCCUCCCUGCGUCUCCUUCUCCCCGCCCCCUUCACUUCUCCUGGUGUGUCGUAACUUUAAAAAAGGCCUGCAAGAUAUAGUUAUUUAUUCUUCUCCUUCCUUCCUUCAACUCAAUUUUGGGCUAAGGCCAAAAUUUGGGGGAAACAGAAGCAGCCAUCCGAAGAAUCUCCUUCAAAGCUCAAGUGUUGCUCCUGUGACUGCU